UGGGGAAUAUUGCGCAAUGGGCGAAAGCUUGACGCAGCAACGCCGCGUGAGUGAUGAAGGCCUUCGGGUCGUAAAGCUCUGUCGGAAGGAAAGAAUAUCCAUUUGAAUAACACCAAAUGGUUUGACGGUACCUUCAAAGGAAGCACCGGCUAACUCCGUGCCAGCAGCCGCGGUAAUACGGAGGGUGCUAGCGUUGUUCGGAAUUACUGGGCGUAAAGCGCGUGUAGGCGGAUUCGGAAGUCGGGUGUGAAAGCCCUGGGCUUAACCCAGGAAGUGCGCCCGAAACCACGAGUCUUGAGGUCCGGAGGGGAUCGGGGAAUUCCCAGUGUAGAGGUGAAAUUCGUAGAUAUUGGGAGGAACACCGGCGGCGAAGGCGCCGAUCUGGACGGAUUCUGACGCUGAGACGCGAAAGCGUGGGUAGCAAACAGG
rnacentral:rRNA from 1 species